GUUCAGGUGCCUGUGUUGCGCUGGGACAACUCAAACUCGUAGAUGUCAUUAGUGGUUCAGGUGAAGGGGGCGUGGACAACUCAGACUCAUGGACACACAGGUGAAGCAUGAAGGCAGUGUGGGGGAUUAGAAUAGAAUGACUCAUAAACGAACGGCUCUCAAUGAGUCGGUUCUUAUCGUUCACUGAAAAGAGCCGUUCAAAAGACUUGACUCGUCCGUGAACGUCACACUGCUGGUGCCUGUCUGAGUGAGUCAGGACAGAUAACAGCUGUUCGAUCUCAGUGCACAGUAAUGCACCACAUUUCACUGACGCUAACGGUAACAGAGGUAUAACAUUUCAAAUGGUAAUUCAUGAGAUUAGCCGUUACUGGAAAACAAUGAUGGAGUGGGUAACGCCGUUAUUUUUAAUGCUGUUAUUCCCAACACUGGUCAUUGGCCUGGUUAAAAAAAACCAAAAAAACAUAGCAAGUUAUGAUGUUAUUGGCCAAAAGCUAUUACGUUAUCAGUUCAGGACUUUUUUACAUUAUUGUCCAGAUAUUACGUUAUUGGCUUAUUACAUUUUAAAAACAGCUAAUUUAUGACGUUAUGGGCUGUUCUUCGGUUAUGGGUUGUUAUUCCAUUAUUGGCUUCUACAAUGGGAAAUGUUGAGAUGUACAUGUUUGUUUAGACUCAUUUAAAACCGAACUGAAGUGAAAAAUGAAAAUGUGAAAAGGUGUAUAUUUACAUAAAUGUAAUGUAAUACAUUGGUGUGUCCUAUAGUCCUCUAGAGUAAGACUAAAAAACAAGGAAGAUUUGUACUGUAGCACUUUCUUUGAUGUGUACUGUAUUAGUUCAUCUUCUACAUGUAAAGUACUGUAUGAAUAUUCAUUACUUGCCUUGUACUGUUUGAAACAAUGCUAAGUUUAGAAAUGGUAACCAAGAAAACAAAAGUUUUAGAGUGUAUGCAUGCCAAUGGUUGGGUCCCCGUAUAAUAAUAGGAAAACUAUAAUAUGAAAAAAUGGUGCUAUGUUACAUUAUAAAGGUGCUUUCCCGGACCCCAGCUGAAUGCAUGCAAAGAGGAACUAUCAAAAGUAUGAAAAAAAGAGAAAAUUGAUGUCCUACUGCUGUUCUCAUAUAGUGCUGCUUCCCAAAGAUGUCGGAAAUUUGGAAAUACCAACUUUCUACGUGUUAAAAUGCAACAGCCCUUAAAGUUGGAUUCCUAACUCUGAAAGUCCUGUUGAAACCUUCUGAUACGUUUGACAUCUCACGAAGUUUGACGGACAGUUUCAGUGUUGGAUUUUCAGCUAAAUGUAAGCACACAGUGUCACCUCCACGCCGUCGAUUAGCCUCCAAACACGAUAAACUGGUGGGAAGUAGCAUUUUAACUCAAAUGGAGAAAGUUUUUACAUCGUCCUUGUUCUUCCAUGGUUUUUCUGAGCUCCAUCACCAGAACCCAUGGAGGCGGUACUAGAGGCCUGGCCCUGCCCUACUCUGCUGGGAUUGGUUGGUUGUUACUAUGUUGACAUGUGUGCUAAUACCGCUAGCAUGCUAAUGUUCUGACUGUGAUUAGCACCUGACUUUAAGGAACUAAAUCACGAUGAAGGCAUUUAGCCUCUGCUUGUAACAUGUCCAUUAUCUAUCGGUAAAACUUUUAAUCGUUAUAAUUAUAUCUCUACUAGGGAUAAAACUGUCUCAGAAGUGAAAGUGGCACCAUUACAAUGUGGUUUUGUCCAUUAUUGAAAUGACUGAAGAGUAAAAACAGCAAAUACACAUUUUCCAAAAGCUUGAACUAUGGCAUUUUGGUGUUUUAACAUCAGAAAUUACAUAAAACUUUAUAAAAAAAUAGACCUGUGAUGAAUUACUGAAACAUCCAGGUCACCAAAUGUUCACUGGGAAAGGUCCAGCCCCCCCCCCCCCCCCCCCCCCGGUGACCCUCCGUAGGAUUAACAGGUCACAGUAAAAUGAAUGAAUAAUUAUAAAAGUAAAUUCUGUUUCAUAGACUGUAAUAUAAUUAAUGAACAGAGUAGCUGUGAUGUUAACCCACAGGUGUCAAACAUGUGGCCUGGGGGCCAAAUCUGGCCCUCCAAAUCUCUAGGCCUAAAUCUAGUCUAACAUUGUCCCUCUUCAAAAAUGUGCAUGCACUUUGGUUGAAAUAAUGACAACAUUUUUUUUUAAAAUCAUACCAAGGUGAAUAUCAAUGCUACAGUUCUUUCUUUCUUUCUUUCUUUCUUUCUUUCUUUCUUUCUUUCUUUCUUUUUUUUUUUUUUUCCAAAUUCAAUAAGACAUCCUAGUUUUUCAUUGUCCAUAGUUUGUCUGUUUCAAAAUAAGGCAAUUAACAUGAAAAUGGAGGUUUUUAUCCAACAAUAUUACAUUAAAACAGCAAAAAUCUUGAAUGUUUUCUUUAUUAUAGUCGUAUCAUCUCAUAAAUGCACCAAACUUUCCAUUAUUUUAAUGGAAAAGCAAAGUGAAAUAUCAAACUAAUCAGUAAUGGGCUACUGCUGAACAACCUCCUCAUGGUAAAACAUAAAUGAGUUUAGAUCUUUUUUUCAUGGCUCCAGACAGAUUUCUUUCUUCUUUUUCGCAUCCAAAAUGGCUCUUCAGAUUAUAAAGCUUGGCGACCCCUGGUCUAUUUGAAUGCGGGGGGGGGGGGGGGGGGGGGGGGGGGUUAGUAGAGCAGCACCUAGUGGCCAUCAUUGGUAUUACAGCUUUUAUGAUACUCGGACAUCUGCUUCAUCUUGCCUCUUUUUUUGGAUAAAUCGCUGUAAUCUGAGUACAGCCAAAGAGGAUGAAAGCAAAACGGUAACACUGGUGGUUUUUCAACAUCAUGUCACACCUCCACAUGGUAAUAACCAAUCACAGCAGCAGCAGUGUGUCCCUGUGGGCGGAGCCAGUCUAGCACCAGCCCUUGUUUCGUCAGCUGGGAAUUUCAAACUGAAGACUAGAAAUGGAGAAAUGCAGGGCAGGUGGCAGAUUUCCUACCUGAUCACAAAUGCAGAGGUGUAACUGUAAAUAUUGUUACCAGCCUCCAGUUUCAGACGAACAGGAUUAAAGUGAGUCUGUUUACGGCUGAGGAUGAUUCAAUAUGAAGAAGACUGACCGCUGUCGACAAAACCCAGUCAGUCAUGAGGUGUUUUCUAUUUUUAACCAACGAAACAGCGCUCCAAGCGUCUAUUUACAGUUACACUGCCUUUGUGACAAAGGUCUAAAAGAUCUAUAGACAAUCUAAUGACAUAAUUUUGUACUCAUAUAAUUCUUCAGAUGUUUAUGUGUUGAAAUAUUUUUUUAAGUGGGAGAGUUGUACGAAAGCAAACAUGUAUGUGGUCUUAAAGGUCAGCGUUGUAUGAGUUUGGAAAAAUUUGCACUGAUUGUUUGAUGGAAAAGAAUUUGGAAAAUGAAAAAAAGUGUAUGUUUAUUGGUUGUAUUGAUCAUCUUUCUUUUUUUGUUGUUCAUUAAAUGUUUUACAGGAUUAUCAA